rnacentral:rRNA from 1 species
UACGUAGGGGGCAAGCGUUGUCCGGAUUUAUUGGGCGUAAAGAGCGUGUAGGCGGCUAGGUAGGUCCGUUGUGAAAACUCGAGCUCAACCUCGAGACGCCGGUGGAAACCAUCUAGCUAGAGUCCGGAAGAGGAGAGCGGAAUUCCUGGUGUAGCGGUGAAAUGACGCAGAUAUCAGGAAGAACACCCGUGGCGAAGGCGGCUCUCUGGGACGUGACUGACGCUGAGACGCGAAAGCGUGGGGAGCGAACAGG